UGGGGAAUAUUGCACAAUGGGCGCAAGCCUGAUGCAGCCAUGCCGCGUGUGUGAAGAAGGCCUUCGGGUUGUAAAGCACUUUCAGCGGGGAGGAAGGCGGUGAGGUUAAUAACCUCAUCGAUUGACGUUACCCGCAGAAGAAGCACCGGCUAACUCCGUGCCAGCAGCCGCGGUAAUACGGAGGGUGCAAGCGUUAAUCGGAAUUACUGGGCGUAAAGCGCACGCAGGCGGUUGAUUGAGUCAGAUGUGAAAUCCCCGGGCUUAACCCGGGAAUUGCAUCUGAUACUGGUCAGCUAGAGUCUUGUAGAGGGGGGUAGAAUUCCAUGUGUAGCGGUGAAAUGCGUAGAUAUAUGGAGGAACACCAGUGGCGAAGGCGGCUCUCUGGUCUGUAACUGACGCUGAGGCUCGAAAGCGUGGGGAGCAAACAGG
rnacentral:rRNA from 1 species